UACGUAGGGGGCUAGCGUUGUCCGGAAUCAUUGGGCGUAAAGCGCGUGUAGGCGGCCCGGUAAGUCCGCUGUGAAAGUCGGGGGCUCAACCCUCGGAUGCCGGUGGAUACUGUCGGGCUAGAGUGCGGAAGAGGCGAGUGGAAUUCCUGGUGUAGCGGUGAAAUGCGCAGAUAUCAGGAGGAACACCAAUGGCGAAGGCAGCACUCUGGGACGGUACUGACGCUGAGACGCGAAAGCGUGGGGAGCAAACAGG
rnacentral:rRNA from 1 species